GACGAACGCUGGCGGCGUGCUUAACACAUGCAAGUCGAACGGAAAGGCCUGCUUUCCCUUGUGGAUUGCGGGUACUCGAGUGGCGAACGGGUGAGUAACACGUGAGUGAUCUGCCCCCAACUUGGGUAUAAGCCUGGGAAACUGGGUCUAAUUCCCGAUAGGACUGCAGGGUGGUGCCUGUGGUGGAAAACGAUUUUCUAGUGGUUGGGGAUGAGCUCGCGGCCUAUCAGCUUGUUGGUGGGGUAAUGGCCUACCAAGGCGGCGACGGGUAGCCGGCCUGGGAGGGUGGACGGCCACAUUGGGACUGAGAUACGGCCCAGACUCCUACGGGAGGCAGCAGUGGGGAAUAUUGCACAAUGGGCGGAAGCCUGAUGCAGCGACGCCGCGUGGGGGAUGACGGCCUUCGGGUUGUAAACUCCUUUCGGCCGCGAGGAAGCCACCUGGUUGGAAGGGUGGUGACGGUAGUGGUAGAAGAAGCACCGGCUAACUACGUG
rnacentral:rRNA from 1 species